UACGGAGGGUGCGAGCGUUAUCCGGAUUCACUGGGUUUAAAGGGUGCGUAGGUGGGAAUGUAAGUCAGUGGUGAAAUCUCCGUGCUUAACACGGAAACUGCCAUUGAUACUAUGUUUCUUGAAUUUUCUGGAGGUUAGCGGAAUAUGUCAUGUAGCGGUGAAAUGCUUAGAUAUGACAUAGAACACCAAUUGCGAAGGCAGCUUACUACAGGGACAUUGACACUGAGGCACGAAAGCGUGGGGAUCAAACAGG
rnacentral:rRNA from 1 species